rnacentral:rRNA from 1 species
UCCUACGGGGGGCAGCAGUGGGGGAUAUUGCACAAUGGGGGGAACCCUGAUGCAGCGACGCCGCGUGGGUGAAGGAGUGCUUCGGCAUGUAAAGCCCUAUCGGCAGGGAAGAAGCAAGACGGUACCUGACUAAGAAGCCCCGGCUAACUCCGUGCCAGCAGCCGCGGUAAUACGGAGGAUGCGAGCGUUAUCCGGAUUUAUUGGGUUUAAAGGGUGCGCAGGCGGCGUGUCAAGUCAGCGGUAAAAUGUCGGGGCUCAACCCCGGCCGGCCGUUGAAACUGGCGUGCUCGAGUUGGAGAGAAGUA